rnacentral:rRNA from 1 species
UGAGGAAUAUUGGUCAAUGGACGAGAGUCUGAACCAGCCAAGUAGCGUGCAGGAUGACGGCCCUAUGGGUUGUAAACUGCUUUUAUAAGGGAAUAAAGUGAGUCUCGUGAGACUUUUUGCAUGUACCUUAUGAAUAAGGACCGGCUAAUUCCGUGCCAGCAGCCGCGGUAAUACGGAAGGUCCGGGCGUUAUCCGGAUUUAUUGGGUUUAAAGGGAGCGUAGGCCGGAGAUUAAGCGUGUUGUGAAAUGU